rnacentral:lncRNA from 1 species
AUCACUUAGGUGAUCACUGCAGAGAUAUGUCACAAUACACCCUGUAAGCAGAGCCUAGAAAAGAGUUACAUCACCUGGGUGAUCAGUGCAGAGAUAUGUCAUAAACCCCACUGUAGGCAAAGCCUAGACAAAUUUUACAUCACCUAAGUGAUCAGUGCAGAGAUAUGUCCCAAUGUCCCUCUAGGCAGAGCUUAGACAAGAGUCACAUCUCCUGGGUGAUCAGUGCAGAGAUAAGUCACACUGCCCCCAUUGGCAGAGCCUAGAGAAGAGUUAUAUGACUGGGGUGAUCCGUGCAGAGUGAUAUCACAACGCCCUCUGUAGCCACAGAGUAGAAAAUAGUUACAUCACCUGGGUGAUCAGUGCAGAGAUAUGUCACAAUGCCCCUGUAGGUAGAGCAUAGAGAACAGUUGCAUCACCUGGGUGAUCAGUGCAGAAAUAUGUGACAAUGCCUCCAGUAGGCAGA